GGGGCUGGAUAGGUGAGAGGCGGUCCGCGGCGGCGGCGCUGGAGUUGAGGGAGGAGGCCUGCCCUCGGGGAGGCCGUUCUAUUACGCCGCGCUUCGGGACGGGGCGUCUAGGUGUCGGAGCACAUGCGAGGAUACGCCCUUCCAGAUCCACCUGGAGUGGACAGACACCACAAGUUUGGCUGCUUGAAGCUGUGUCCUCCUGAGAGGGACUUUGACGCUUAAAAUGAACUGUCAAUGGCAUGGUCUGUAGGAUCAUUUCCAAGGGAAAGACUCCAUGAUUCGGUAGCAUUUCAGAUUCGCAAAGUCGGGAUCUGCUUGUGCCUUAUCCUUUUUGUGUGUUUUGGUAGCUCCUUUGCCUAGUGGGGUGCUUCACACAGUGGUCGCUUGAUACAUCAAAGUGCUGAGUUAAAUCAUGAAUGUCAUCUAACGACGGUUUCCUGUUUGCCCUGUGUGUUGUGUGUUUCUUGGAGAGUCUGUAACCCGACUACGACCCUGGCGGCAAGGUUGCUCUCCAUCGAUGUGAUCUGCAACGGAAAGGACCUGGGGUAGGAGCGGCUGAUCUGGGGGAGCGCGAAAGGCUUCGCUCCCCGGGGGAAGGGCGCCUGCUCACCCUCACUGCCAAGGAGCGCGUGCCCCCCAGCUUCUCCUCACCAAACCGCAACCCAUGCGACCACUCUAAGUCUUGGGAUCACAUCGCCAAGUUUACAGCUCUAGCCCGGACUUCUCCCGUGAGUCGCCACUUCCGCCUCUCCGCGUGGCCGGACGGUGGCCGUCUCCAGCUCAGCAGGUGCAAGAGGGAGCCUUCGCUGCUUCCCCCAAUCCCGCUCCGCACGCAGUCCUCGCCUACCCAAACGGUAGCAACUUGAACCUCGCGCAGACCUUCGAGGUGUCCCUGAAGGCUCUCUUUCUCUCUCACUGCACACCCACUGGGCUCCUCCUUCGCAGUCUCCAAGAUGGACACCGUCCCCACCUGCACUGCCGGCCCCUGGGUCCACCCCCUGGAGUGACCGUGGAUGCCUUCUCACGGGUGGCCCUGCACCUGGCUUGGCCCCAUGCAAUCUCUUCUUGGCUCGUCCUCAACAGUUACCAAUACCAGUCUCUUCAAAUGUAAGCCCGAAAAUAGAUCAAAUAUGAUGGAUUUAUUGACCGAUACUGGCUCAAAACCCCGUAAUGGUUCUGCAUUAA